rnacentral:rRNA from 1 species
UUAAGCGACUAAGCGUACACGGUGGAUGCCCUGGCAGUCAGAGGCGAUGAAGGACGUGCUAAUCUGCGAUAAGCGUCGGUAAGGUGAUAUGAACCGUUAUAACCGGCGAUUUCCGAAUGGGGAAACCCAGUGUGAUUCGUCACACUAUCAUUAACUGAAUCCAUAGGUUAAUGAGGCGAACCGGGGGAACUGAAACAUCUAAGUACCCCGAGGAAAAGAAAUCAACCGAGAUUCCCCCAGUAGCGGCGAGCGAACGGGGAGCAGCCCAGAGCCUGAAUCAGUGUGUGUGUUAGUGGAAGCGUCUGGAAAGGCGUGCGAUACAGGGUGACAGCCCCGUACACAAAAAUGCACAUAUUGUGAGCUCGAUGAGUAGGGCGGGACACGUGGUAUCCUGUCUGAAUAUGGGGGGACCAUCCUCCAAGGCUAAAUACUCCUGACUGACCGAUAGUGAACCAGUACCGUGAGGGAAAGGCGAAAAGAACCCCGGCGAGGGGAGUGAAAAAGAACCUGAAACCGUGUACGUACAAGCAGUGGGAGCACGCUUAGGCGUGUGACUGCGUACCUUUUGUAUAAUGGGUCAGCGACUUAUAUUCUGUAGCAAGGUUAACCGAAUAGGGGAGCCGAAGGGAAACCGAGUCUUAACUGGGCGUUAAGUUGCAGGGUAUAGACCCGAAACCCGGUGAUCUAGCCAUGGGCAGGUUGAAGGUUGGGUAACACUAACUGGAGGACCGAACCGACUAAUGUUGAAAAAUUAGCGGAUGACUUGUGGCUGGGGGUGAAAGGCCAAUCAAACCGGGAGAUAGCUGGUUCUCCCCGAAAGCUAUUUAGGUAGCGCCUCGUGAAUUCAUCUCCGGGGGUAGAGCACUGUUUCGGCAAGGGGGUCAUCCCGACUUACCAACCCGAUGCAAACUGCGAAUACCGGAGAAUGUUAUCACGGGAGACACACGGCGGGUGCUAACGUCCGUCGUGAAGAGGGAAACAACCCAGACCGCCAGCUAAGGUCCCAAAGUCAUGGUUAAGUGGGAAACGAUGUGGGAAGGCCCAGACAGCCAGGAUGUUGGCUUAGAAGCAGCCAUCAUUUAAAGAAAGCGUAAUAGCUCACUGGUCGAGUCGGCCUGCGCGGAAGAUGUAACGGGGCUAAACCAUGCACCGAAGCUGCGGCAGCGACACUAUGUGUUGUUGGGUAGGGGAGCGUUCUGUAAGCCUGUGAAGGUGUACUGUGAGGUAUGCUGGAGGUAUCAGAAGUGCGAAUGCUGACAUAAGUAACGAUAAAGCGGGUGAAAAGCCCGCUCGCCGGAAGACCAAGGGUUCCUGUCCAACGUUAAUCGGGGCAGGGUGAGUCGACUCCUAAGGCGAGGCCGAAAGGCGUAGUCGAUGGGAAACAGGUUAAUAUUCCUGUACUUGGUGUUACUGCGAAGGGGGACGGAGAAGGCUAUGUUGGCCGGGCGACGGUUGUCCCGGUUUAAGCGUGUAGGCUGGUUUUCCAGGCAAAUCCGGAAAACUAAGGCUGAGGCGUGAUGACGAGGCACUACGGUGCUGAAGCAACAAAUGCCCUGCUUCCAGGAAAAGCCUCUAAGCAUCAGGUAACAUCAAAUCGUACCCCAAACCGACACAGGUGGUCAGGUAGAGAAUACCAAGGCGCUUGAGAGAACUCGGGUGAAGGAACUAGGCAAAAUGGUGCCGUAACUUCGGGAGAAGGCACGCUGAUAUGUAGGUGAAGUCCCUCGCGGAUGGAGCUGAAAUCAGUCGAAGAUACCAGCUGGCUGCAACUGUUUAUUAAAAACACAGCACUGUGCAAACACGAAAGUGGACGUAUACGGUGUGACGCCUGCCCGGUGCCGGAAGGUUAAUUGAUGGGGUCAGCGCAAGCGAAGCUCUUGAUCGAAGCCCCGGUAAACGGCGGCCGUAACUAUAACGGUCCUAAGGUAGCGAAAUUCCUUGUCGGGUAAGUUCCGACCUGCACGAAUGGCGUAAUGAUGGCCAGGCUGUCUCCACCCGAGACUCAGUGAAAUUGAACUCGCUGUGAAGAUGCAGUGUACCCGCGGCAAGACGGAAAGACCCCGUGAACCUUUACUAUAGCUUGACACUGAACAUUGAGCCUUGAUGUGUAGGAUAGGUGGGAGGCUUUGAAGUGUGGACGCCAGUCUGCAUGGAGCCGACCUUGAAAUACCACCCUUUAAUGUUUGAUGUUCUAACGUUGACCCGUAAUCCGGGUUGCGGACAGUGUCUGGUGGGUAGUUUGACUGGGGCGGUCUCCUCCUAAAGAGUAACGGAGGAGCACGAAGGUUGGCUAAUCCUGGUCGGACAUCAGGAGGUUAGUGCAAUGGCAUAAGCCAGCUUGACUGCGAGCGUGACGGCGCGAGCAGGUGCGAAAGCAGGUCAUAGUGAUCCGGUGGUUCUGAAUGGAAGGGCCAUCGCUCAACGGAUAAAAGGUACUCCGGGGAUAACAGGCUGAUACCGCCCAAGAGUUCAUAUCGACGGCGGUGUUUGGCACCUCGAUGUCGGCUCAUCACAUCCUGGGGCUGAAGUAGGUCCCAAGGGUAUGGCUGUUCGCCAUUUAAAGUGGUACGCGAGCUGGGUUUAGAACGUCGUGAGACAGUUCGGUCCCUAUCUGCCGUGGGCGCUGGAGAACUGAGGGGGGCUGCUCCUAGUACGAGAGGACCGGAGUGGACGCAUCACUGGUGUUCGGGUUGUCAUGCCAAUGGCACUGCCCGGUAGCUAAAUGCGGAAGAGAUAAGUGCUGAAAGCAUCUAAGCACGAAACUUGCCCCGAGAUGAGUUCUCCCUGACUCCUUGAGAGUCCUGAAGGAACGUUGAAGACGACGACGUUGAUAGGCCGGGUGUGUAAGCGCAGCGAUGCGUUGAGCUAACCGGUACUAAUGAACCGUGAGGCUUAACCUU